ACAUUUCUUUUAGUUUAUAUUAAAGGUAUUUUCUGCCCAAUGAAUUAUUUAAAUGGCUGCAGUAUUUUGACUGUACAAAGGUAGCAUAAUAAUUAGUCUCUUAAUUAGGGGCUGGAAUGAAAGGAUAUAUGAAAAACUUAUUUUAUUAAUUAAAUUUCUAAAAUUUAAUUUUUGAGUUAAAAAGCUUAAAUUAUUUAUAGGGACGAUAAGACCCUAUAGAACUUUAUAAUCUUAUACAAAACUUUAGUUUUUAUAUUGUUAAAUUUUAUUUAGCUGGGGUGGCUAAUAAAUUUAUAUUACUUUAUUUUAUUUAUUCAAUUAUAUUUGUUUGAUUGAUCCACUUUUUGUGAUUAAAAGAUUAAGUUACCUUAGGGAUAACAGCGUAAUUUUGAUGGGGAGUUCAUAUCUAUAUCAUAGUUUGCGACCUCGAUGUUGAAUUAAGAAAAGGUUAAGGGGUAGGUUCUUUAAUUUCUAAGUCUGUUCGACUUUUAAUUUCUUACAUGAUCUG
rnacentral:rRNA from 1 species